GUGAAUCAUCGAAUCUUUGAACGCAAAUUGCACUCUCCUCGGAGAGGAUGGCCGUUUGAGGGUCAGCGUAUUAAAAAUCGACAUCGUUGCUGUUUUGUGGUGGCGUGCGGCGGAAAUUGGGUCAUCAUAAAUCCUUUUGAUUUAAGCGACUUAAAAUUUUCUUUUGGUUCCAUGAACGAUGCGAAGA
rnacentral:misc_RNA from 1 species